CGGGUGGUAAUGCCGGAUGCUCCAGUCCAUCGCAUGGUGGUCUGGGAAAGAUUUCAUCGGUAUGGGAUGGGGUCGCGUCCUAUCAGGUAGUCGGCGGGGUAACGGCCCACCGAGCCUACGACGGGUAGCCGGCCUGAGAGGGCGACCGGCCACAUUGGGACUGAGAUACGGCCCAGACUCCUACGGGAGGCAGCAGUGGGGAAUAUUGCACAAUGGGCGCAAGCCUGAUGCAGCGACGCCGCGUGCGGGAUGGAGGCCUUCGGGUUGUAAACCGCUUUUGUCGGGGAGCAAGCCUUCGGGUGAGUGUACCCUUCGAAUAAGCACCGGCUAACUACGUGCCAGCAGCCGCGGUAAUACGUAGGGUGCAAGCGUUAUCCGGAAUUAUUGGGCGUAAAGAGCUCGUAGGCGGUUCGUCGCGUCCGGUGUGAAAGUCCAUCGCUUAACGGUGGAUCUGCGCCGGGUACGGGCGGGCUGGAGUGCGGUAGGGGAGACUGGAAUUCCCGGUGUAACGGUGGAAUGUGUAGAUAUCGGAAAGAACACCA
rnacentral:rRNA from 1 species